AAUAUGUUAUUUAUUUAAGUAAAUUAAAUCACCUCUAUUGGAUAGAAGUUAGGUUUUAUCACCUGUAGCUUAAGGGAUGAGUCAGAGGAAUUCGAGAAGUGAAAUUUACGCUGUAGUCCUAUUAGUUGCUACUUAAGUCAUCUAAAAAUUUGCCAUGUCAACAUACUUAGAUCAUAAUUAUCCAGACUAGCAUAUUAAAGUUACAUUUAAAAUAUA
rnacentral:lncRNA from 1 species